GACCGCGUAGCUCAGUUGGAAGAGCAUUGGGCUAGUAUUCCAAAGGUCGUAGGUUCGAUUCCCACCGUGGCCA